AUGAAAAGUUACAAGUAAAGAAAUUUACUAGUCUUCCACAUAUGAAGUUACAGAUGCUCUGUGUGAAUUUCCUUAUUUUUGUAAUUUUCAACUCAGUUUAAGAUAUUAUUAACUUAUACCUUCAAUUCUAUACACAGAUCGUAAAACAAUAUUAGGGAAUAAUGCAUGGAUCACAUUGAUCAAUAAAAGAACAUUUUGUUUUCCCGAAAAUAAUAGAUAUGUAACUAUAUUCAAAAACUGUUAAUGUAUGUUCUAAUGUGUAAUGCACGAUGUAAUGCAUGAUGUUUCCUGUGUGCAAGAGCCAUAACUUAAAAAAGACGAAUAAAUGGAGGAACAUGAUUUCAUAAUAUAUCAGUUUGAAAUAUCUGUAAUCUGAAAUAUCUUCCCAUGAUGAGGCAGGAUUUUACUGACAUGAGGAACAGGAAACAAAAAAAAAGAUUUAAUUUAUAACAUUGUAUGUUACUCUUGUUAUGUUUUAAAAAUCUGUUUUUUGAAGUUGAACUAACGCAUGUACUCGUAAGUAAGAAAUGAAAUAUAUGUUUUAAACUUGACUGGAAAGAGGAAGAUUUCAGUGCAGCUCAGGCAAGUAAAAAAAAAAUGGACUUGAUGUAUUCACUCACUUGUUUGAUAGAACUUAAUUGAGAAAUUUAUGAGAAACAGUUACAAUCAUUAUCAAUUAAUCAUUCAGAAGUUGAAAUCGAACAACACAUUAGCUGCAUAGAAUAUACAAUAUAUACUUAUUUACACAACAAUGGUGGCACUAAACAAUCGACUUUGCAGGUUAUGUUUAUACUAACCUUUCGUAAAAUCCAGUCUUCAAUGAAAAACUGUUUGAAAUGUUAUUAUCAAAUUAUAUAAUUGAUUAAAAUCAUAUGUUAUAGAAUAAAGCUAAUUGAUACACAGUUAUAAAAACA